CGAACGAGACCCUUGCAUCUAGUCGCCAGCAGAUCCCUUCGGGAUGCUGGGUACCCUAGAUGGACCGCCACUGCUAAAGUGGAGGAAGGAGAGGGCGACGGUAGGUCAGUAUGCCCCCGAAUCUCCGGGCUACACGCGGCCUACAAUGGACAGGACAAUGGGCUCCGAUCCCGAAAGGGAAAGGCAAUCCUUUAAACCUGUUCUUAGUUCGGAUUGAGGGCUGUAACUCGCCCUCAUGAAGCUGGAAUCUCUAGUAAUCGCGUGUCAUUAUCGCGCGGUGAAUACGUCCCUGCUCCUU
rnacentral:rRNA from 1 species